rnacentral:lncRNA from 1 species
UAUCCGUACAAGGGCAAAAGUUCAAACUAUUGGGACUUGAUUUCAAUCAGCCCCUGAACUUGGAUCCCAUAACAAUAUCAUUCUAGAUAAAAUCACUCUUACUUGAGAUCAGAGGUUUCUCAGAUAACUAGCAUACGUAAACCAUAAGUGGUGGCAACAUCAGCAACAGUCACCACCUUCUUCUUCUUAUUCUUCUUGAACUUGGAUCCCAUAACAAUAUCAUUCUAGAUAAAAUCACUCUUACUUGAGAUCAGAGGUUUCUCAGAUAACUAGCAUACGUAAACCAUAAGUGGUGGCAACAUCAGCAACAGUCACCACCUUCUUCUUCUUAUUCUUCUUCUACUUAUUCUCUUCUUCCUUCUCCAAACAACUGUCGUGCCACCUUUUU